AGACGAAAUUUUCGCUUCUUUAUAUACCUUUACUGUACCCACUGGUAACCUCAAUUAGCCAAUCGCUGACCCGGAAUGACCCUACGCCACUUCCGGUAUAAACAAAUCAGGGAAAGUGCACGCAGAGAAGUUUUCUAAUAGAAAAUCAUUACUAACCAUACAAAAUGGGAUUUUAUCUACCAAAAUACGAUAAGUACAAGUAGCUAUUACGUUAUUAAGUUGAUUUAAACAAUGACAUUACAAUGUUCAAAGACGAAACGUGAUAAUUGACUUCAAACAUGCUAUCGAGAUCGAGACCGGGUCGAAAUACAGUGAACCCGAUUCUAAAACAAUAUUGACAGCAUAUAACUUAUUUCUUUUACAACUUUUUAUCAAUUAUUUAAUAACAAACAAUCACGUACAUAUCAAUAUGCUGAUAACGACUGCAUACGCUGCGAGUGAUUGACUAAAUACACAAAAGUGACGAAACGAAUUUCGUAACAUAGCCCCCUCCUGAAGAAAACAUUCGUCCCGAAUGCAACUGGACUUGGGUCUACUGAAAACAUCACUUGCAGUUUUAUAUAAGUUGUAGCCUUCCCAAUACUAAAUCGGCUGGGAGAGAAACAUGCCUACCAAACAUCAUCUCACAUGGACUUACGCCAGUUGACUCGUGCUGGGCUGACCUAUAAGCUAACAUGAGCAAGGGUGCCUUUUGUUUCGACCUAGUUUCAACAACUGAACACAUUUGUGUAGAUUCUUCAGAUAUGGGAGACAUGGCUGCUGAGAUACCUUCUGUGGGAGCAGGGACUUUCCCGUUAUCCGCAAUGGAUCCAGCGGGACUGAAAAUUUGCUGACCUAUGGGUUUGAAAGUGACUUCCCCGGACUCUUCUAAAUCUGACAUUUCUGUGACUUUUUUUUUUUAUUUUUUUUUUUAUUGUACACUAUGAAAUUCAAUGAUUGUAAAAUUUUGAAUUUAAUAAAGCUAACCGAGAACGUGGAAAAUUUCUUCCCAAUCAAAGGGACUUGAUCCCACUUCUGACACCAGUGUUGCGCCUCCCACCUCGGGAGAGAGUGGGGCAACUGUGUGGGCUUUCCACUCUCGUAUGUUAACUUAUAAAUUAAUAAUUAAGUCAGGAUAAAAGUUCAACAAAUAAAAUUUAUUUACACUAUGUACAAUUAAAUGUAAGUAUUGUUAUAAUAAAAAUCACAAUACAAUAUAUAUAUCAGUCUCUUAUAAAGUGAAGUCACUCCCACAACCCGUAGGUAAUAUCUAAAUCUCCCAAAAUAAUUAUAAAAAUUAGCUACUUGUACUAAAAUAUACUUUCCUUGGUUUAAUAUAAUUUAUUUAUGCCUAUUCUGUAAGACCUAUAUAGUUUUAAUAAUAAAUUGUAACUCCCAUAAAUUCUCCCAUAAGUUUUCCCGUCGAUGGGUCUCCCACUCUACUUAUGGGUCUCCCAAAGGGAUAUCUCAGCGUCUCUAUUUAAUAUAAUUUGA